AUCAAAUUAUCGGCCAUGGAUUCCUUACUCCUACAUUUUUGUAGGAAUAUCAUUAACCUGCAUUAAAAUAAUUAUAAAAUAUACCCUUUUUUGUAAAAAUUACUAAUUACAUUUUGACCCCUUUAAUUAUUGAUUUUUUAACUUUGUUCCUUUUCCUUUCAUUCUCAUAUUAGAAGCAUUCAAGCAUUCAGAGAAGAAAAGAUCUGCUAGGGUUUUCAUAUAAUUUCAAUUCCUGCAUUUCUCACUUCCACUUCCUUUUCUUCUGUUGUAAAUCUCAUUAGCAUAUCGUCGCCGCUGCAACACGCCUCCGCCACCACCGCAACCAGCCGCCGCCGCGCGCAACCUGCUGUGGCCGCCGCAACCUGCCGCCACGUAAAACGUUGCCGCCGCCGCGCAAGAAGCUUCCACCUCCAUCGCGCAAGACGCUGCUUCAAUGCUUAGAGGCAGUUUCUUUCAAGGAGAGAAUCUUGUUCUUGACUGUGUCACAGCCCCCAAAUGUUGAGCAGCUAAGAGCAAGGAUCUAGGGUUUCAUUAUGGGGAAUCAAAGCUUGAAUCCAAAUUAUGUGAUUCCCCAGUGGAUGCCGCAAUUUGAUUGCAAAACAAAAACUCAAAACCUUAUUGUUCUUGAUGAUGUUUGGUCACUCUGUGCUGCAACAGCUUGUGUGCAGAAUACCUGACUGCAAAUUCCUUGUUGUCUCUAGAGAGAAAUUCCAAAUUUGUAAUGCCACCUAUGAGGUGGAACUGUUGAGUGAAGAGGAUGCACUAUCUUUGUUCUAUCAUCAUGCUUUUGGACAGAAAUCAAUCCCUGUAGCUGCCAAUCAAUAGAAUCUAGUAAUGCAGGCUAUGCACAAAAUUGCUUACAUGAAAAAUCCCUUAAAACUUUUUGUGACAUGAGAAUUGCCGGAGUCAAUCCAGACCAAUAUAUUUUUGCGAGUAUUCUGAGUGUCUGUGCAGAAUUGACUGUUCUAGAAUUUGGUAAACAAGUGCAUGCAGACUUUAUUAAAUCAGGUCUUAGGUCAUGAUUAUUAGUAGAUAACUCUCUUGUGAUAAUGUGCAAAAUGUGGAUGCUUGGAUCAUGCUGAUACUAUUUUUAUUUCAAUGCAAGUCCAGAUGUAAUUACUUGGAUGGCUCUUAUUGUUGGUUAUGCACAGAAUGGGAAAGGAAGAGAAUCCUUAAGAAUUUAUAAUGCUAUGGUUUCAUGUGGUACAAAACCAGACUAUAUCACAUUUAUAUGAUUAUUAUGAUGCUAUGUUUGUUGCUUGGUUACCUCAUUUUGUGCAUGUGGUUGUCAAGUUUUAAGGGGCUAUCUAAAUGCUUGGGAACAGAGUGUAAUUUUUCAGACUGGCAAUGGAGAUUGUGAUGACUAAUGAUGUAUUUCAGUUCCUAAAAGUACCUGCUACUUGCUUAAAUUGGACGAGAUGCACAUUGCAUUACCUGUUAAUUGGAACUCGGAGCAACAUCUUUUUCUUAAAUGGUGAUUGGCGAAGGAGGCACGGACCCGUCAAAAACCUACUUAUUAAUUGGAAACUUAUUAUUUAUUUUAUUUUUUAUUUACAAGUAAAAUUAUUUAGGGGGGUCACUGUCUCAGCUUCUACUGGUAGUGCUGUAGUGAUCAAAGUCAAGUAGUGCCUCAUUUGACACAUUUGUUCAUUUUUUCACCAUAACCAAUAAUAGAAUGUUCUCUCCUUCUUAGGAAACUUCAAAGUGGAAAGUGAAUGUGUAAUUUCCACGGUGAAACCGUGUUUGUACAUGCAUGACAAUAAUGUUAUAUAAACACACACACUUAUUUUAUACACACGAGCCUUUUCUUCCACUUCGAGAACAAAAGAAUAUAUAUAAUGGUGGCAAAGUAUAGUAACAUUGCUUUGCUUACUAUUGCGGUGAUGCUUCUGUUUAGACGAUGAAUAAGCUAGAAAAUUGUUAUUAUUUAAGCCAUUAUUUUUUGU